GAUGAACGCUGGCGGCGUGCCUAAUACAUGCAAGUCGAGCGAACGGACGAGAAGCUUGCUUCUCUGAUGUUAGCGGCGGACGGGUGAGUAACACGUGGAUAACCUACCUAUAAGACUGGGAUAACUUCGGGAAACCGGAGCUAAUACCGGAUAAUAUUUUGAACCGCAUGGUUCAAAAGUGAAAGACGGUCUUGCUGUCACUUCUAGAUGGAUCCGCGCUGCAUUAGCUAGUUGGUAAGGUAACGGCUUACCAAGGCAACGAUGCAUAGCCGACCUGAGAGGGUGAUAGGCCACACUGGAACUGAGACACGGUCCAUACUCCUACGGGAGGCAGCAGUAGGGAAUCUUCCGCAAUGGGCGAAAGCCUGACGGAGCAACGCCGCGUGAGUGAUGAAGGUCUUCGGAUCGUAAAACUCUGUUAUUAGUGAAGAACAGAUGUGUAAGUAACUGUGCACAUCUUGACGGUACCGAAUCAGAAAGCCACGGCUAACUACGUG
rnacentral:rRNA from 1 species